GGCAACUUGGCCGAGCGGUCUAAGGCGCCACGUUAAGGAGUACCCUUAAUCACCUCUUGAUCAUCUCCUUGAUGAUCUUGAAAUGUUCCGUGGUCCGAAAGGGCGUGAGUUCGAAUCUCACAGUUGUCA